AGAAUAACCCUAAACUAGAUGAGUAGUCUUUGACUUGUUUUCCAGAGAGCUAGCGGUUGGUGAAAGCUAGUAGCAAAAAAGAUGAAAUGGACUGGUGGUUUAUGAUGAAAGGAACACAUAACUUUCAGGUUGGCACCCCUUACCGUGCAGCUUCUUAUUUUUGAGAAGUUUGAGAUAAUACCUCUAAACGGUAUUAAUUGAGGUGGUACCGCGUAUCUAUGAUGACGUCCUCACG
rnacentral:ncRNA from 1 species